rnacentral:rRNA from 1 species
UACGUAGGGUGCGAGCGUUGUCCGGAAUUAUUGGGCGUAAAGCGCACGUAGGCGGCCGACUAAGUCGGGUGUGAAAGCCCUGGGCUCAACCCAGGAAGUGCACUCGAAACUGAUCGGCUUGAAUAUGGAAGAGGGUUGCGGAAUUCCCGGUGUAGAGGUGAAAUUCGUAGAUAUCGGGAGGAACACCAGUGGCGAAGGCGGCAACCAGGGCCAAUAUUGACGCUGAGGUGCGAAAGCGUGGGGAGCAAACAGG